UGACACUGUCAACCAGUAAAGCAACAGCUUGGUGAGGUGACUGUUAUGAGGCCAUGGGGACUAAGAUGAGAAGCUAUUUUUAAUUAUGUUGAAUUAACAAGUAAGUUUCUGCUUUUUCUUUGCCCCCAAAAUAAAUGGAGUAUCUAUUUUGCUAGAAGUGACUAGUGAAUGGUCUGUGACCACUUAAUGGUUGAGUGGUAUAGAAGCAAAGAUCUGGUUAUUGGUCUGUGUUAGCUGUUCUGCUCUUUUCUAAGAAGAAAUAGUGGUAUGCAUGUAUGUAGAUUUAUUACAAAGAUAAUUAUUAAAAGUAAUAGAUUGUUUCCAAACUUCAUCCUGCUCAGACUAGAUUCAUUGGAACGUAUGGACCUCAGUUACUUAUAUUCAUUACUUUCAUUGGGUCUAGAAGUAGCUUUGGAUACAACCUUUAGAAUUAUAGAAUUAUGUAGCUACACAAAUAAACAGCUUUAGUCUAUUCUUUAAAUGGAAUUUACCAAAAGCUACAAAUCCAUUCUAAGGCAGUGUUAAGGAUCUGUGAUGGCAGUAUCUCCAUCAAUAAUAAAAAAGACAAAUCUAUCUCUCCUUUAUUCAAUGUGAAAUGUCCUGGAAGGUUGAUAAUGCUUUUUACCCCAAAGUGUAUUUGAUGACUUACAAAAUGAGUGUAAGAGUCAUAGAAAAGAAAGAAAGAGGACAUAUGGCUGAAAAGUGUAGUCCAAAUCUAGUAUUCUCCAUCACUGAAAAUCCACAGAACUGGUAAAACUGCAGAGUGGUUUUAUAAUUCAUAAUUCUAAUAGAGGAACCCAGGCACCUUCAGACACUACAUUGGUAUAUUGUGCAACUUGUGUUCCUCCAAGUAAGAUCUUUUCUUUUUAAAGGCUUAUAUAUAUGACAGCAACAAUGACAAAUGAGAAUACUAAUGCACAAGGUCCAAUUAUUUCAUACUGAUUUCUUGAUAGAAACAAUCAAGAGCUUUGUGAUGCCUUAAAGACCAACAGCUAUGGCUGCAACCUUUCGAAGGGAAAAAGUCUACUUCACCAGGUGCAUUACUGAGUAAAAAUGUUCAGGAUAAGAAUAUUGACCUGUUCAAGCCUUGCCCACCCUAACUAGGAUAAAGCAGCCCUUUGCCUUGAAAUUUUGUAGCUUUGGUUGUGGCUAGAAAGUAAAUGUGUUAUUUAUGUAUUAGCUAUUAUGCCUAGAUAUGACGAGUUCUGCAGCAGAGCUGAUAAUAUGAUGAUGUGGUUUCUCUCCACUGCUGAAACAGAAUAACUUUUAGUGUGCAAAAAAAAAAGACCUUUUAAAGAAAAUCUAAACCGAAAAAUAAGCAUUUCAAAUGGAAUGUACUUGGGCUAAUAACAUUUGGGUUGGGUUAAUAAUAUAUGGAGUAUUGUUCUAUCAGAAUGCCUCACAUACCACUGGUGACUAAUCAAGGGCAUCUCUAAAAAAGAGACCUUUGAUACAAUAUGGUCUCCAUUUUUCCUCUUUUAUUGAAGAAGAACAGGAUAUUUUAAUGUCAUCAUCAUCAUCAUCAUCAUCAUCACAAGGGUGUCUGUGCAGGAGAAAUAUUCAUUGAAAAUGUUAGCUUUUCUUCCUUUUCUUUUCUUUUUAAGAAAGUAAACUACCUGUUUGUUAAGUCUGGCACCGGAGGUCCUUCUCUAAAUAUUCCUGCUGCUUUGUAGGCUUUCUUAAUAAUAAUUACUUUUAUUUAUAAGCCACCACAUGACUGGGUUGCCCGGAGACCCACAUUUUAGACAUUUUUUUUAAAAAAAAGAUUGCCCAGGAUUUUAACUGCUUUUAUAUCUAAUGCUUUUUGUAUUUUUACUGUUGAUAUGAUGAUUGCUUUUGUUUGUGAUGUUUUUGAUCUGUUUUAUAUUUGUUUUAUAGUUCUCUUUUGAAGGCUAUCUUGAAAAUCUAGAUUAAGGGGGAAAACUUUUUUUUAUUGGAAUGUACUCUGUGUGUGUGUUUCCUACUUCUUUUCAGGCCAGAAUUUUUAAUCCUCGGAGUUCAGGAUGGAAAAGUUUUGCUUUCCCCAUAAUGGCUGGAGCGUCUCAUUGCCUGUCAAUACACAUAUUUAUUGUUUUGCUAAGUUAGUUCAAUUUGCUCCAGGAAGCCACUUUGCUCUUUUGAUUUCAGGCCACGACUUGACAGCACCCAUCAAGUAACCCAGCUAAUUACCAAGUUAAAGCAUAGCCAGGAAAUGUACUGCUCUUAAUUAUUGUUAAAAUCCAAAUAGUGUCCUCAUGCUCAAAAAAGGAUAUGGAUUCAGCAAAUGCCUCUGCUAACAGAAGGGGAGGGCAGGAGAUUUGGAGCAAUUUGCAAUUCCCCCUGCAGCCCCUUCCAUACUUCCUUGUGUAGGGUGCUCCAAACUGUCUGGAGCCAGUUUUCAGGAACUCCUGGUGGUUGCAGGGAGAGUGAAAUCAGCUAGAGGUGCUUCUCCUCAUCUUCCAUUAGAGGAAGUCAAAAGGGCACCAGGAGGUUUCUAUUUAAUUUAUACAAAAGACAUGGGGCACAGUCCUUGUUUCUUGGCCCCCAUUCAUACAGUCAGCUGGAGGUGGUAUUGAAAUCACAUUGUGGAGGAACUUUGUGAGUACUUCCUCUCUACCAUGGAGAUAGCCCCCGUUAUGAUCUUUGUCAUGUGUACUAUUUCUUCCCCGAAGAAGAAAAAGAAGAGCAGGCUCUCGUCUACUCUUGCUCACACAGAUGUCUCUGUCCAUACUGUGGGAAUAUCAUUAAAAGAUAUAAAGAUAUAAAAACUGAUAAUUGUAUAUGACAAAUGUAGAAAGGUAUGGCUGUAGUGCCAAAGGCCGUAAAGUUAAAGUGGACGUAUGCAGGAAAUGUGACAAUAGACAAUUCAGUCCGAUGGAAUAAAUUGUAAAGUCUCCAUAUGUUAAUAUGGAGACUCUAUAAUUUCAAAAGACCAAGGGGACCACCACCGGUUCUUGGUGGAUGAUCCAAAACUAACAGCGGGGCUUGUGUUGAUACAAGAAGCAAACGAGAAAAUUAUGGAGAGAACAUGAAGAGGUGCAUAUGGAAAGAUGGAUGUGAGAAGACCUCAGAAUUUUGUUGCUGCUAUGUCAGGAACGUAUUUGUGAUUGGUUGAAAUAAUCUCUUCACAUGAGUCAGGAGCUAUGUUUCAAAUAUGUAACCAAAGUUCACAUACGUUAGACAUACUUGUUUCAUGUACGCACUGAUUUCCUCAUUUUACAGUUUACAUUUCCUAUUGCCAGUUUUUUAAUCCCUUCCAUCCCUCUGCUGUUUUUUUGGUUGGACAUGGGCUGAAUGUAAGUGACCCUAUAUUUCAUUUCAGUCAAGGAUGUGAUGAUAAAUAGCACACUUUGUGCUGCAUAGGUGCACGUGAUGAAUCAUACAGAUAUCGCUAAAAGCCUUCAGCACUCUCCCUGGUACCUUUCUUAGCAUCUGUGCAAUGCCAGAUAUGUAGGAAUGAAUGGAACAACCUAAUCAUCUGAAAUGCUUUUUGAAAUGUGCUAGCAAGAUGGAUCUAGAUGGAUUUUACAUCAGAGAUCAUAUUUAUCCAUUCCUCUGCUACUUGGUGGUAUUACCAGUGAGGUGAUCUAUUAAUGUUACAAGGAGAAAUUUUCGUGAUGGGGGUCAGGUGGUUGAAAAUGAAUUUAGCUUAUUUUUUUCCACUCCUCACUCUGUUCCAGCUAGUUGAUUUUCUCGGCUCUCUGAUUUUUUGCUGCACUGAGAAAAACCCUCUGAAAAGUGCAAUUAAAGAUUUUCUGAAUCAGUGGCUGUUACUUACAAAUACAAAAAAUAAUUUAAAAAGCCCCAUACCAAAGUUUGAUUUGAGAUAAUAUUUCCCAUCCCUUCUUAUUUUCACAAAACUGCUUUAACCGUAGCUGUAUUAUAAUAAGUCAUCUCACUUAUAGGCCAGAUCAUAAAUUUGUUUCCAACAUCUUUAUGGCCUUCGAAAAAGCAGAGAUGAAUUGAGCACUGUGGGGCUGACUUAAUUGGCUGAAACGCUUUUAAAAUGUGAUGUGGUGUGAUUUAAUCAGACUGUGGCACUAAUGGAGUUAAGCACUCUGUCCACUAGGAAAUGAUAUGAUCUUUCAGAGUUCUAAGUGCCUGUUUAUGGCUCUGUUGAAGGUGCUCUUUUAUAACUCCUGCAUUCUAACCCAUUGCCUGGGGUUAGAGGGUUUUUAUUUUAUUUUUAAAAAGCAGUUAUGUACUACAAAAUGUAGAGUGCCUAGGUCCUUAAGCUGGACUUCAUGAAAUGUAUUCUUUAAAAAAACCAAUCAAUUAUGCAAUAAAUAAAUAAAUAAAUCAGAUGAACGUUCUAAAACAUCUGAUAGCAAAUGGACAAAUCUUCCCUUUCCUCAACAGCAGCACAUCUGCACUCAUGCCCACAUUUCAGAACUAUCUGUAAAUAAUCUCAUUUUCUAUUAAAUCAGCAUUAGCUUGACCAAAUUACAGUGCUUGAACAGUACUAAUGGAAAGCGCUUUAGGAAUUCUCUGGCCUUAUUUCACAUUGAGAAUAUGAAAAAAGAACCCUGCAUUUUCCUAAAAUGGAAGUGCCUGUGGGUAUCGUCCAGUGAUGUCAUAUUGCACAACAAACUUCUGCUUGCACACACAGGAUUUCCCCAUCCUCUUCUCCCCCUGUAACCCCUCUCCCAUGCCCCAAAAUCUUCUCCAGACUGUUGAGGUACCCUCUGCAGCAAAUUGAGGGGUGCAGGAGUAAAGAAAGGUAGAAGGAGAAGUUUAAUCUCCACCCCAGUUGCCAUCACCCUAGCCUUCAAAUGCCUAAAACAACGAGUUUACCUCAAUGGAAAACUCAAAACAAAAUGGGAAACUUGCCACUCUAUUUUACAGUUAGACAGUCCUCAGUGAUUGCUUGUUGCUUCAGUAAGUCAAUCUAGUUGAACCUGGAUAUAAAAAUCCCUGGUGUUGUAGUUGGUUUAAGAAUCUCAGAUUCCAAACCCAAGUCAAUUAUGUGGGGUUUGUGUGUGUGUGUGUGUGUGUGUGUGUGUGUGUGUGAAAGAGAGAGAGAGAGAAAGAGAUACUUAAGGCAUUCUAAAUACCACAAAAUUCUGAGGGAUAAAAUAAAAGUACAAUGUGAUAACUGAAAGAUGUCUGCUUCUUUUUGGCUUCCUAGUAUGGUCACCAAAUUCUGUUCCAUCACGGUGAGAUUGAUGCCUUCAGGCAAGAGGAAAGCUAAGGGCCAAUGGUAUCAGAUCAACCAGACUGCAGAGUCUGCAAUGUCAAUGACAUAGUUUGAAUACCACCCUAUUUCUUCAGCUAUAUUUCCAGUCUUCUGUUUUGCCAGGUACUGUAUGUGCCUCAAUUCCCAGAUAUGCUAUAGAUUAUGUGGAAUCAACAAAUCUGUAUGAUUGGUUAAUCUUUAAAGCCUGAUGCUAACAUUAGAACUACUACAUACAGAAUAUGACUGUAGUGUGAUAUAUGGAUAUAUACAAAAAAUAAUAGGAAUUCAUAUGAUAUACAAAUAUGCUAGUCGAGGAGCUCCUUAUAUGAGAAAAUAGUAUAUACAUGGCUUCAUUUCAUUUUCUUACUUUGACGACAAAAGCAAAUUUAAGUCUUCAUAUAUUGCAAAUUGAAACGAACAGCUGCUCAGUUUCUUCAUAAACUUUAAUAUGGUUGCUAUAAAACCUAAUUGUGAUGUUUAAUAAGUACCUUUACUGGUAAAUUCUAAUUAAUCUGAGAUAGAGGGAGGAAAAAGAAGUCAUUUUUAAAAAAACGGACUUCCUUUCCUAUCCACUUCUAAUCUGAAUAUAACCUAAUGAGGCAAAUUUAGUUCGAUAUUUAGCCUAGCCAUUUUUCUCUGGCGGCUAAAGAAACAACAGUUGUUGGGUUUUUUUUACAGCCAUUAUACAUGUAGUAUAGCAUUGCUAAGGCUAUUGAUUUAGUCAAUAACCAUUUAUUCACAUCUAAACUAAGUAUAAUUGGAUGGGCACAAGAUAAACUGUAACACAGUAGUUACCUAGUUAGGCACAGGAAAAGCCGAGAAUGAGAACAGAAGCUGGUCCCUUCCUGCCAUAAAUGUAUUGUAUCAUGUACCAUGUACUUCCACUAAAGUGUUUCUGAGGAUUUCAGUGAACCACUUAGUAGUAGUAGUAGUAGUAGUAGUAGUAGUAGUAGUAGUAAUAGUUUAACAAAUCAAAGCUCAUGUUUUAACAGUGUUUAUUUUCUUUGUCUCUGGCAUCAUCAUCAAAAUCAGCAUUGUAUUAUAAAAUCAUAUGUCCUAAGACAGACCAUUAGUACAUUUUUAAAGGAAAUAUGAGUACAGUGAACUAGCAGUUUAUUAUAAAAUCGUGGGUCCCAGCUCCAAGUCUUGUUGGCUAGUUUGAUAACCCAGUUCUGGUCAAAAAUGGGCCAACCACGAGAGUCAGAAAGCAAACUAAUCAAAUGCAGAAACAAAUACAAAUAUUCUUGACUUUUUUUCAAUCUUUCCAUGGCCCACUUGAAGGGAGCUCAUGAACCACAAUUUGAGCAUCUGGCUGAGUCCAUAGAAAGAGAGAGCUAAUUAGUACAUCCAGGUAGAUUUUUUAUUAUUAUUCUUUUCUCAGCCAAUAUACACAUGCAGAAGAUUCAUUGCUGGGCCUACCAUUAGGCAGUGUGAAGCAGCCAAACCAGGCAGCAAAUGCUAGGAGAUAGGGAGCCAGCAGGGUUGGAAGUGGCUAUUUUGGCACCAGGACCAACAACAUGAAAUGCAUCCCAUAGUCAACCAUGUAUGUAGUGACAUAAAAAAUUAACAACAGUUGUAAUAACAUGAUAAAAAACCCAAACAUAUUUAUUUAAAUUACAUUGUAACAUUACAUUAUUACGUGCAAUCGCAUGUAAAGGAGAAACAUUAAAAAAAUCAUAAUUAUUCUAUCAGUAACUUUACACAUUAUAUUUUUUCAUGCAGUCCCUUACCAAUAGUGUCACCUAAUACAUUAUUAGAAUGAAUACAUUUUAUUUUUGUAAAUAAUAUAUAUAGGUCUAUUACAGUAUGGAAACAUUUAACAUUAAUCAUGAUUUGACACCCCCUUGAUUCAGGUGCCCUGGGCACAGGACACCACCCUAGUUGCAUCCCUUGGGAGUGGCAGGGAAGUGUUGGAAGACAGAGUUGUAUGUUCCAUGUGACCUGCCCUACACUCCACAAAGCUAGUUAGUGCCCUCAGUUACAUGGGUCCUGGCUUCCAUCUCAGAAGCAAUGUCAGAGGCUCCUACGUGUGUGUAAAAAAGAAAGCUUUAAUCAAUGCUUCCAGUGAUUUUGGUCAGACUAAGAGCACAGAUAGCAAAUGGUGCAACUAAGAGGUGAAGAAUGAUAUCAGUGGAUCCAAAAAGAGACUAAAGUUGUGAAGUUGCCUCAACAACUGGUCAUGUCCCUCCCAUCAGCUUCGGACGGAAGACGUGGUACACUCAAAAGAGCUCUCUCUUUCCCCAUGAGAUUGGUGUGCUUGGAGGUGUGUGCUAGCUGUCCAGCCUCCUCCAGCUGUCCAGUCUCCCCUCCUGGCAGAUUGACAUCUUCCCCUGUUGCUAGGGAAUCUUCUGCUCUGUGCAAGCAGCUUGACGGAGCCACUCAUGCUUCCUCCCUUCCCUGGCUUCUAAAUGCAACAGAGUAGGGGUAAUAUCCUUCCUCUCAGCCCACUCCCUGCCAGUGGAGUGCUCUGUGCUCUCUUCUGACUCAUCUGACAGUAACAGUCCCUUCCAGCCCUAAACCAGUUGGAACUGAAGGACUCACAGCACUGUCCUGUCCCCAAUGUUGAAAUAAGGUUCAAUUACCAGUCUGAGCAGCUCCUGUAUGUAGAACUGGGCAAGUAAUGGGAGGUUGGACGAGCACUCAUAUCUGGUCCUUUGCCUCAAGCAAUGAAAUAUAUUGGGCUGGCUCCAGCAGACUCCUCUAUGUAAGAGGACUGGAUCACAUCAGUCUGCUGGCAAGGAUGCAUAUUGCCCUAGCGCUUUCUAGAUGAAGGACUCAAAUAUUGUUUUCUGCUACUAGCUUUAAUCAGAUCAGUAUGGUACAUAAGCUAUGCAAGGGUCACUGCUAUAGCAGGCACAUAGAAUGUCUAAGCAAGCUGAGAUGUGGAUCCAACCUGGACUCUUGUUAUAAAGGAGUGGAGUGGGGAUGGCUUCAUUGCAGAUCUUCCCACCUCUCACCUUCAUCUGACCAGUCCUUCCAGGAUGAUUCCUCAGGACUCAUGACACAUAUGUUUCUUUUUUUUUUUUUAAAGCAAUUUAUUGGGUUUUACAGUAAGAAUAAACAUAGUAAACAAUAUAACAUUUGUCUUAACAUAGUUUCACAUUUUCUUUGGACUUCCUCACAUCUCCCGCUCCCACUUUCAUCGUUAUAACAUUUUGUCAGCAAUUUAUCAUCUUAUUUAAAUUCUUAUAUCUCUUCAAUAUUUCAUAAUCUUAUGGUUCUCAUAGAGAGUUAAACUUUCACAGUCUUACUUAUUUUCUUAAAAACUUCUUAGUUAAGUGGUGCUCAGUUAUUUAGUCUAGCAUCUUGUUUAGCAUUCACUCAAAUCACAAUAUUUUUGUAGAUAGUUCUUAAAUUUCUUCCAAUCCUCCUCGAUUCUCUCUUCUCCCAGGUCACGGAUUCUGCCGGUCAUUUCAGCCAGUUCCAUGUAGUCUAUCAGUUGCAUCUGCCAUUCUUCCAGUGUGGGUAAAUCUUGAGUUUUCCAAUGUUUUGCAAGAAGUAUCCUUGCUGCUGUUGUUGCAUACAUAAAAAUGUCUGGUCCUUCUUUGCCACCCCUUGGCUGACAAUACCCAAAAGGAAAGCCUCUGGUUUCUUGGUAAAGGUAUAUUUAAAUACCUUUUUCAAUUCAUUAUAAAUCAUUUCCCAGAACGCCUUCACUUUAGGGCAGGUCCACCAGAGGUGGAAGAACGUUCCCUCACACUCUUUACAUUUCCAACACUUAUUAUCAGACAGGUGGUAAAUUUUUGCAAGUUUAACUGGGGUCAUAUACCAUCUAUAAAUCAUUUUCAUUACAUUUUCUUUCAGAGCGUUACAUGCAGUAAAUUUCAAUCCAUUACUCCACAACUUUUCCCAGUCCUCAAACAUAAUAUUAUACCCAAUGUCCUGUGCCCACCUUAUCAUAGCCGAUUUAACCAUUUCAUCUUGUGUAUUCCAUUCCAACAGCAAGUUAUACAUCCUUGAAAGUACCUUAAUCUUUGGUUCUAACAAUUCUGUUUCUAAUUUCGAUUUCUCCACCUGGAACCCUAGUUUCUUAUCAUUUUUAAAAACUUCUUUAAUCUGAGCGUAAUGUAACCAAUCUCGCACUUUGUCUUUCAUUUUCUCCAAACUCUGCAAUUUCCAAUUGUCUCCAUCUUUUCUAGUAUUUCCCAAUAUUUUGGCCAUUUAGCCUCCAUAUUGGGUCUUUUUCGGGCCUUAGCUUCCAAAGGUGAAAGCCACCUUGGUGUUUUAUUUUCCAGCAAGUCUUUAUAUUUUGUCCAGACAUUGAACAAUGAUUUUCUGACAAUAUGGUUCUUGAAGGCCUUAUUUGCUUUAACUUUGUCAUACCAUAAAUAUGCAUGCCAUCCAAAAACAUUAUUAAACCCUUCCAAAUCCAACACAUCAGUGUCUUCAAGAAGUAGCCAGUCUUUUAGCCAGCAGAACGCUGCGGCUUCAUAAUACAACUUUAAGUCCGGCAGGGCAAAGCCCCUCUUUGUUUUGCAUCAGUUAAUAUCUUAAACUUGAUUCUGGGCUUUUGCCCUGCCAGACAAACUUCGAAAUAUCUCUCUGCCACUUCUGAAAGCACUCCGUUUUGUCCAAAACCUGAAGUGUUUGAAAUAAAAACAACAUCCUUGGCAAUACAUUCAUCUUAAUAGCAGCAAUUCGGCCUAACAAAGAAAGUUUCAAUUUUGACCAACUGUCUAAGUCUCUCUUAAUUUCUAUCCAACAUUUUUCAUAGUUAUCCUUAAAUAGACUUAGAUUUUUUGCUGUUAUGUUUACCCCUAGGUAAUUUACUAUUUUAACCACAUUAAGUUCCGUCUCAUUCUGAAACCGUUCUGACUCUGUAUCAGUCAAAUUUUCCCCAAAACCUUAGUUUUCUGUUUAUUUAAUUUAAAUCCCGCCACCCGACCAAAAUCAUUGAUCAAUUGUAAUACUCUUUUCGUACUGGGCUCUGGCUUCUGCAGGGUCAAAACCAGGUCAUCUGCAAACAUGACACAUAUGUUUCGAGUGCAUCCCCAAACCCUUCCAACAUACAGGGAUGGAUUCAGUUAACUUGUCCUGCUAGCAGAAGUCAGGGCAAGGAUAGUCACCUGCUCUAUGGGGCUAUUCCCUUCCUCUCUUCCCCCUGAUCUCCUUAGUACUACAUUGAAUUCCACCAAUAGAAAAUUAGAACACCAGGGAAAAUCUAGCCUAGACUGCUUCCCUGACAAUGCUAGUUUUAAAUGUGCAGGGACAGUGUGUGUGUGCAUGUGCAUGCUGGGAAUUCAUUCAAAGAAACAGCCCCUCGUCUGCAGUUUAAAUGCUGUGGUAGGAACUACACAAUGAGAAACUGCUGAUUGUAAAUAGAAUAUCAUGCUCUUCUAAAUGGAUGGCAGGUCUAUGUGGAUAUUUAAGAGAGGCAUUAUUUAUAUCUGACCUUGCAUGCUUAUCAAUUAAUGUCUUAUUGAUACUACAGCCAAAAUUGAUCCCUGCCUCCAGUUGCGGAUUCUCUUGAUGAAAGGAGGAAGAAAAACAAGCAGGUUUCAGUGUGUUGUUCUGCCCUCAGGAAUAGUUUUCUUGAAAUAUCUGGCAUGAAAUACAUUACUCUUAAACCCAGUAAAGAUUUUGCUGUGAUCUUUGUGAACUCAGAAAAGACCUUUCACUCUGCAAGGGAUAUUGGCUUGGAAUAUAUUGGGUAUGCAGAGCACUUUGCCAAAAAUAGACUUACUUGUGCAUCAAAUUUUUACUUCUAUGAAGUUUGGUAGUGGAAUCAGGCUUUCUGCUGGAUGAGGCAAAGGUCUCAGUUGCACUCAGUUGGUGCAGGAGAAUCAGAGUUGCUGGAGGGAAAGAGGCAGUCAGGCCUAGAGUAAGAAGGCAAAUUGAGCAGCAGCAACCCUGAGUCAUUACUGAGAGUUACAAGAACAGAGCUGGCCUGUUGCCCAGGCAAGAGUUAAAAGGUCACAUAGAAGAAUUUGCAGGUAGUUCAGAAUCAGCAGUAGUCAUUGAAUGUAUAAGGGGCUUCCCUUAUACAACAAUGUUUUAGGUUUUUUUAAAAAACAAAACACAUAAACAAAUACUUGUUUAAAUGUACAUAGUAAUCAUAGGGAAAAAUUGCAACUUUUAAAGAUCUGAAAAGGAACUGAUUUUUAAUGCUCAAAAAUGGGUGCACAGAUUUUUGCCCUCUAGGGUCAUAUGUAGUGGUGGGUGUAUGGUUGAAGACCCUCCAGGUGUCCCUAUAUUUGCCAGGGACGGUUCUGGAUUUACAGAAGCCAGUUUCUGAUUUGCUCCCAGAAUGUUCUGCUUCUCCUUAGGAUGGACCUAUGGAGAAAUGUUGAAGGGUAUGGAGUUAUGUGAACUCUGAGUCAAGGAGAUAAGAUACAACCUUUAGACAUCUAUAUAAGGAAGUUUUUAAAAAAUGUUUAAUGUUUUAUUAUGUUUUUAUAUGUGUUGGAAGCCACCCAGAGUGCUUGGGACAACCCAGUCAGAUGGGUGGGGUAUUAUUAUCAUUAUUUUCAUUGGAGAAAUGUUGGAGGGUAUGUGGUUGAGGACUACAUGUCAGUGGUUGUGGUCAGUGAUGGUCAAGGCCAUGAACAUACACAUAUUCAGCAAACACACAUGCAUUUCACUGGGAUUACUGGUCUGCACAACCUUGUAAUCAUGAUACUUGACAAAUCACUGUCCGCACGCUACUAAUAGCAAUCUUAUCUAAAGUAGGAUUGAUGAGGCAUAGAAGUUCUAACUUUUCCCAUGGCUGUGACCCAGUAAAGAACACUGGCCCUGCUCAGUUAACAGCUGGGCAGCAGGAAAAGGAGUAGCUCUGUGGGGCUAGAUGAGCUGCACAAAGAUUGGCCAAGAGAGGCUAAAAUAUCCCUUUGCCUAAUUAUUAUUAUUUAUAAAAUUUAUCUACCACACCUCAUCCGCGGAUCACGGAGUGGUUUACAAUAUAAAGACACAAAAAUACACAGUAACCAACAAAAACAAUUAUGCCCCAAAGACCACGAAUGAUGUUCGGAUGAGUUAGUGUUCCUUGGUGCUCUUUGGCCCCAUGUUCAAGUCAAAUAGUCAUGCUGCUGACUGCAUGUAUCACCUGACAGCUUGGUCUUUGUAAGCUUUUAUUCAGUGGCACCUUACCUCUUUGUUUCCAAACAACAAUUCUUCAUUUUCUUUCCAAGGGGGAAAAACACUUGCAUGAAAUGUGAGAUUGUCAUUGUAUGAGUGAGUAGUAAGACUGGCCCAAUUUAUCAUUUUUCCCUGUACGCAUUAAUGUCAACUUUUCCAUACCAUAUUUGCAUGGCAAGAGAUGAGAAUGAAAAAGAACACCGUAAGUUACCAUAGCAUAUGAAAACAUUUUAAAAAACCAAAUAUUCAUUCUGUUAUUAGUUCUGCCACCAUGAGGCACGUUCACUAAAAGUACUAAUUAAGGAAGCAGGGGUGACUGAAGCAUGAAUGCCGCUGUAUUCUUCUAGGUUCAAUAUUCAACAUGGAUCUUUUUACAUUGGUACAAUUGCCACAAGCUUUUCACAUGUCUGAUUCUGUCCAGGUCACUACGCAUCAGGGGGUAUAAAUAAUCAGUACCUGUAGUACAAGUUAGGUAGAAAAAUAGUAGCUUAGAUGCUCAUCCAAGUGUAGAUUUAUGCCAGGAUUUCGUUCCUCUUGAUGGAUGCAUGUUUUGAUAGGCAUUCUGAUGUGAAUUAAAACGCACAUUACCUCUGACAUAGCAAGCACAACUAGUCAUGCAUAACUCCAUAUACCUGUUGCACAUGCAUGGACAAAGCCUGAUGGAAAGAAGCAAAACAGUUUUUUAAAUUAUAGCCGACAUUUUCCAGAGUGUUCUAUGCAAUGUAUUUCCCUCAUCCAGUUUUCUAUGUGCUCAGUUAUCACGGAAAAGCAGGACAUUGGAUUGAAAAUGUUAGAUAGCAAUCAGCAGUUUUACACAUACAUACCAAAAGUUAACCAAUAUAGUUCAGAACCCCUCCCUCCUGCAGCAGAAAACAUUUGUUUGAGGAUCUUUUUGGCUGGUGAGGUAGAGGGAAAGGAUAUCCAACAUAUCAGGUUUUCAAUGAAUAUUUGGCAUAAUUAUUCUGUCUGAGACUUUAGCACUGAAUGAGGGAGUAGAGGUCUUUCUUUCUUUCUCAUAUCUUGCCUUCCAAGGUGUGAUAUUUAUAGGUACCAUGCAGGUUGAACAACCUCAAUGAUUUUUUUGAUGACACAGUCAACCUAGAACCAUUUCAAUAUGAGCUUUGAAUGUUAGCAUGGUGAUGUGAAUAACACAGACAGAGUCUACAGAGAAAAGAAACUGACAAUGCUUUACUGAGGGAAACUGAACAAGACCGUAUAAAAUAUUAGCAGAAAUAAACACUGGGGAGUUUGUCUUUCUUAUAGGACUUGUUGAAAGCAUGGAGUCAACAACAUAGCCCAUGAGAGUUCAAGUUACCUCAGCAAGGUUCAUGUCAUGCUGGCUGGUUGCUAGGCAACAUCUUCAUCUCCCUCUUCAUUAGCUGACUGUCAAUAGAAUUAACCCUUAGAUUAUUAACAGAAUGAUCCCUGCUUUUGCUCUUGCAACACUGACUUAGGCAGUGUUAAUGGCCCAGAUUAUAAAUGUUUCCAUAGAUGUGAAACAUCUCUGUGUUUAUUCUGUUAGGUCCUUCAGCAGCUUUUAGAUAUUGUCCAUUCCAUUCUGCUUGGGCUGUCCCAAGUGAUAGUGACCCAUUGAUUUAAAUAUGGUUUUAUCUGCCCAUGUUCAGAAUGAAGUCAUUGAGUUAUAUGAAGUCAUAUUCAUCAAUAGCUAGGAGCAAUAAUUUUACUACUACAACUUCCCUAAGAAGGUCAAAUGACUAACUCUGCCCUUGUGGCAUUCCAGAAAGGCUCCAAGAGCUUCCUAUUUUGGAUGACUUCCAGGGCUGACUUGAUGUGUGUGUGUAUGGGCAUCUCUGAAUCACUAGUUUUGCUGCUGAAAGUAUUCUGGUUUUGAUUGUUCAUUGUCUAUCUUAACUAUGUUGUUUUAUUGCAUUUUAUGUAAGUUACCUUUAAUAAUCAAUAGUGAGCAGUUGCUGUUGUUUUUUGUGAUAUGUAUAAUGCAAUAAAACAUUGCAGUUUUACCACAACAUUAUUGUGCUUCUAUGCUUCUCUUGGCAGACAUGAGGUGCUCAUCUAGCUUUUAACUGCUCCUGCCUUUCACAGCCUUGCCUUUCUAACUGCAGACUGAGACAAUAUAGUUAUGGCAAUGAUGUGGAACUCUUGGACACAUAAGAACUACCCUCAUACACAAGCUUUCUGUUGCCAAGCAACUCUACACAAGCCUUGACAUUUAUCUCUUGUUGAACAGAGCAACUUGUUUUUUUUGCUUAAACCUCAGCUAAUUGCAUUAUCAGAAUCUGAAUAAAAUUUAUUGAAGGAGUAUUGAUGAGCCUUAGAUCCAUGACAACACGUAGGUGGUGGAAAAACCCAGCAAUGUGUGCUGGCACUACAUGCCAAAGAAAAGUUACUACGUUAGCCAGUUUCUUAAAUACAUUGGAAAUACUGGUCAAAAGGUUAAUUUAAAUUAUGCUUCUGCAUAGUUCUGAACAAAUCCCACCAGAAAAUCCCACCUGCCUUCACCAGGUUUCUUUUACCAGGGUGGCAUUGGCCAGUGAUCAAGAGCUGAGCCAUGAAAGUGAGAGGUGAAAAUGAGUUUAUUUUAUUUAGUUAUUAAAUUUUAUAUCCUGCCCUUCCUCCCAAAGAAUUCCAUCACCCCAUGAGUCCCUACAGCUCUGCCUUGGUCUCCAGAGCUGUUGGAGGCUGGUUCUGGCUCAUCCAUUUUGCCUAUUGUGCCACUAACUCUACCUCCAGAGUAACAGAAACCAUGUGCAGUUCCACUUCUUCAGUUGUGGGGUUGUUACCCUGUCUGUCCCGCCCACCUCUGAGGAGGCAGCUCAAGGAGACACCAGCACAGAGAUGGGAAUGGUGAACCCAUCUGGAGAAGUGCUAAGUUGCUUGCCCAGUAUAAGAACUGGAACCACCCACUAUGAUAAGUUGUACACAUCCCUUUCCCUUAUAACAGGGUUGAAGGCUUUCAGUAUACCUAAAGGAGCAUGUCCACCCCCAUCGUUCAGCCCGGCCACUGAGGUCCUGCACUGAGGGCCUUCUGGCAGCUCCCUUCCUGCGAGAAGUGAGGUUAUAGGGAACCAGGCAAAGAGCCUUCUCGGUAGUGGUGUCUGCCCUGUGGAACACCCUCCCAUCAGAUGUCAAGGAAAUAAACAACUAUCUGACAUUUAGAAGACAUCUGAAGGCAGCCCUGUUUAGGGAAGCUUUUAAUGUUUGAUGUUUUAUUGUGUUUUUAAUAUUCUGUUGGAAGCUGCCCAGAGUGGCUGGGGAGGCCUGGCCUGAUGGGAGGGGUAUUAUUAUUAUUAUUACUAAUUUCAACAUAUUUGCUUGCGUAGACAUACGUAGCACCUGCUGUGCCUUUGAACUAUGUUUUGCCUACAUAUUGCUCUGAUCCGAGCAUUUAAAGAUUUUGGCAGAAACUGCAACCUGAAUUUGAGUGCUCCAUUGAGUUACAGCCCAGACACACAGAGCAUCUCUUCACACAGUGAAAUUGCAGGCUCAGGGCUGCAUGGGUAUAAGAAAUUCAGGCUAAAAUGAUUUUCUGCAACAACCUCCCCCUCUCUCCCUAACUACCUUAAACUACUGUUUGUGGUACCCUGAAAAGUGGGAAAUAUUUUCCUUUCCUAACAUUCUUCUAACUGAAUAAUAAAUACCCAGACAAUCAUCUAUCACUCAUAUUGCACCUCACUGAAUCUAGAAAGAACUGUACAAAGGCAGCCUUUAGUGGGUAAAAUGAAAGAAAAACUGAAAACUCCACCUUUCAUAAUUAUAUUUAUGUAGCACUAAGGAGCUUCCAUAGUACUUCUGCACUUAUAAAAAAUAGGACUGUGGCACUGCAUUCACAUUGAUUUUCCUCAACAGCAACAAAAAGAUAAAUAAUGUUUUAAUGUUCAACGGUAACUCAAAAUGAUAAGCAACUCCGUUGUCUGUGAGAGUCACAGCAUAAAACAUUGCAUGUAUUCAGUUUAUAGAUUCCUUGAGGAAAUGGUGUCUGCAAAUAGAUCACAGUGAACUAGAAUGGAAGGUUUUCAAAUAUACGCUUAAAAACACAAUUUACUCCCCUGGGUGCCAAAACAUAAUUAACUAACAGUCCAAUCCUACAGAAAGUUGACUGGAAAGGAAGGGGGGGGGGGUUCGUCCCUAACAAGUGUGGUUAUGGUUGCAGCCUUCAGUGCAUAAAUGUCCCAUUGCAUCACAAUCCUUGUUAUAAGAGAAAACACCUCUCCUGUAAGGAGCGCAACCCUACAAUUUAGACCUUCUGGGAAAACCCUGCUCAGAGUCUCCAUCAUACAAAACGUAAGAUCUGUAUGUGAUAUAUGUGUAGGUAGGUGUUAAAUAAUGUGUGUAUUAUAUAAUCUUUUUGCUAGGUGACCAUGCACAUGGUCAUAUCUGAAUGUAAUCAGGAAUUUCCUGUUGGUUUCUGGUUCUUAUUAAAGAUAGACAGCUAAAGUUCUUCUCUAGCUUCCUUCAGUGACAAUGUGUUAGGAGAGAGGUUUUCAGCCUUUUUGAGUCUACAGCUCCCUUGACCAACUACAUUAUUUCUGUGGUUCUCUAGUGAGGAAACAAACUCUGAGUCUCAGGAGCUCAGUUAUGUCACCCCUUGCCUGCCAAGCCAUCAGUCCCUCACCCCUUUUUGGACAUCCUCGCUUGUGGAGGGUUCCUUCAGCAUCCUCUUCCCUCUCCUCUCCUUGGGAGUCAUCACCCACUUGCUUGCUUACUCCAAGGUGACCCCAGCUCCUGGCAACCAGCAUUCCCUGGCUGGCCCAGAGGCACCAGUCACCUGGAGAGCUUGUAACUUGGGCCACUGCAACAAACAGCUGCAAAGCCUCUAGAGGCAGAGACACAAGAGGGAGGAAAGGAUGGAGGGGUGGAGGCUGGUUUCACUUGCAACACCCUGACCACCAUUCAAGUCAUCCUAUUUUUUUUUAAAUGAUAUUUAUUGAGAAUUUAAAAUUACAGAAAAAGAAAGGAAAAAGCAAGAAAAAAGAAAAGGAAAAAAGGUAUACAAAAAAAGAGAUUAAACAAUAUAAGUCAAUAAAAACAAAAGUAAAACAAACAAACAAAAAAACACACCCAAUACAUCAGAAUCAAAAAAGCAAAAAUAAACAAAAAAUUUAAAAGCAAAUCCAAUAUUCCCAAAUCCUUAUCUUUCAGUAACUUGUUCCAUCGACCUCCUCACACCUCCCUUUUUUGUAUUCUAGUUAUUAAUUAUCUCAGCAAAUCCUUUCCAUCUUUCACAAUAUUCUGUCAUUAAAUUACCUUAAUCUAUUUUAACCUUAUCUUACCAUAAAAACCCUAAAGCUUAAAACUUAAAUCUUAUUUAUACCUAAUUCUUUUUAACAAAACAUAUUUAUACAUAAUUCUUUUUAACAUUUCUACUAAAGCCAAAUAGUUUCAUUCCAACAUUUUUCUAAUACUCAUUAAUUUUACAAUGAUUUUCUAAAUGAAUUUUUAAAACUUUCUUCCAAUCUUCAUCCGUCGUCUCUUCUUCCUGGUCUCGGGUUUUGUCAGUCCUUUCUGUUCCAUCCAUCUAGUCCAUCAACCUGGUGACCUUCUAUCCGAGGCUCUUAAGUCUUUUCCAUGUCCCUUCUGCAGGUCUUCUUCAUGUUUAUACCUGCACUUUACUUUAUCUUCUGCUGAUCUUAUUCUUAAUUUCCUUCCUUUCUCUCCGGGAGACUCCAACUUGACAAUAUCUUUAUCCCUUCUCGACAAGUCAGCCCAUUCUCCAUAGUCGACACUGAAAUCCAAAAGAUAUUUAAAGGCAUGUUUCAAAGUCCCUCCAAGAUUAAGGGCCCCCACAACUCCGAACUCCCCCUGGCCCAAAGCCAGAUCCGAAAAGUCAAAACAUCCCUGCAUAGGGGGAUCUAUCCAACUUCCCAUCUCCAGACCAAACAGUACUCCAUCUCUCCAAAUCUGACUUUCUCCAGGUUCAGUCGUCAAAGACAGCAACUUAUGUUCCUGCAAGGCCGCAGCUCUCUCCAUUUCUGGUACUUGAGGUUCAGCAACUACCUCCUCCUUUAUCUUCUUCACCACUUGCUCUGUCAAAGCACAUUCCUGGAUUGAUUCCUGAGUGGUUUCUAUAUAAGUAUUCACUGUUUGUCCAAAAUUUCCAACUGCAACAGUCAUCAAAUCCAUCUUCUCAUGUAGCUGUUCCAGUAAAGCACUUGUCUUGCAAAAAGCAAGCACUAAAGCUUCUUCUGGGCACAUUCUUGUUCAAGGUCGGUGUCUAGUUCCCACGAUCUUUUAUCUCUACAGCUGUAGAAUUCCCCAGAUCGACUCCAGCAACAGUUUCACAAGCUCCCUCUAGAGGAAACAAUUUCUAUUUGUAUCUGUCUUUUUAAAAGCAGAUCUAGCGACAAAGUUCCUUUCGUUUUCCAGAUAUUUUGUUCCUUUUAAGUGCAAAAGGGAACCUUGGAAUCAAUAUGUUUCUCUUUUUUAACUAUCUGUCAAAAACGUUUUGUCCACAGUCAAUGAACUUCCCCAAAGUGUCUGUCUCUGACACCCCGCUCCCAGGAUCAAGACGGUGGAAAUUUAUCUUUCUUUACUCUCUCUUCUGCAGGUUUAAACAGUCUAAAAGAUUCCCCCUCUUCUCCUGCUUCCAAGGGGGGUUUAGUGAUUUUAACUGAUGGAAAUUUAGUCCUUUACAAACGACUUUCCAGACUCUAGCUUGCAAUGUCUUUGCUUCAAUCUAUUUACAAAAGUGGAAGGCGGACUUCCUGUUUAGACCUUCCCGCUUCUUAAUCCAAUUUUCCGUUCUACUCACGGGCAGUUGUUUAAAAUCCAAUUGUCCACAGGAAAAAGUCAGCGCUCUCCGGCAACAGCAAUGCGGCUUCACUCCGUGAAAAAAGCAGUCGAUUCAAAGCACCGCGCCAUUCACCCCACGUCGCUCCGGAUCCCCGAAACCGGGUUUCCCCGCAAGUAGGGGAGGCGCAAAUGGUGCCAGCCGAAUCCCACGUCCACAGGCUUCUCCCGCCUGUGGUUUUUAAUGGGUCUCUGCCUCGCCGCGGCGGUCCAGACCCUAGUUCUCACGAAGCAGAUUCCUCCUGGUCAGAGGAAAUCCGCCAUUGCCGGAGGCGCUAACUUGGAAGUCCCAUUCAUUCAAGUCAUCCUAGGGUGCAAUGGCACACUGGUUGAAAACCACUGUGUUAGGGGAUGGAGGAAGGCCUUUUUUGGUUGUAACCUCAUAAUUAUGAGGGUCUUUGCUGAAGACUUUCCAUGCAAGCCAAAUAUGUUAGAUAUUUUGUGUUUCAUCUUUCUUCUUUGUUGUGAAUGAGGAGACAGAACUAAAGGCUCACAACAGUUCAAUAAGUAUUCAGGAAAGUAAUGUGUUUGUACUGAAUGCAAGUGGAGCUUGUAGAAGAAUCUGGGGAGAAAAAUAUAUAGCAGAGUUUUGGCAGAGAUGCUAAAGAAAAUUAGUGCUAACACUAUUAGCUGAAGGAGUAAAUGCUGACUGCCCUGUGUUGUAAAGGUUACACUUUUGUAUACUCUGGCGGUUAGGCAUUGGAAUAUGGUUGUGUGUUGGAGGGCAGGGUGUGGCCAUCACCUACCCCUCCAUUUUAUGGGUAUUCCGGUAAAGGAACCCGGCGGUCGUGGAUCCUGUCUGACGCCCUUGCUGGUGGCUAGGGCCAUGGCACGACCCCCGGUGACAUCAGGGGGAUCUUUCAGUUGUAUUUGCAUCAACAGGCUCCUUCCACUGGUGGUUAACAGUUGAUAGACUCACCCCUCCCUGAGGGGCUGGAGUCAUGCUCUGUUGUUUUAUCCAAUGCCUAAGCCAAUACCCCUCACAUGCUGUAAUCAAUAAAGUUGUGGGCUUUUUCAGCCCAUUAACGUAAUAUACUGUGUCCAUGUGUCUUUCUUAUCCUCAAGCGGGUGGCGGGUCCUUGAAUCACAAAGAAAAUUAGUGCUAACACUAUUUGCUGAAGGAGUGAAAGCUGAUUGCCCUGUGUUGUAAAGGUUACACUUUUGUAUAUUCCAGGGGUGGGAGACUUGCACCCCAGUACAGACCUUGUCUUAAUUUCAUGAGGGUGAAAAGGAGGUGAAAAAUAGCUAGAGGAUAGCAGAAAAACAGGGGAAAGGGUGGCACAGAGCAAAAACUAAUGGGUCGGCAGGAAAGGUGGGUGGAAUGGUUUCAGUCCCACUGUCAGCAUGCAGUUGUUAAGAGAAUAAAGGUUAAUCAUCCUAAGCUAUAUACCUGGGAGUAAGUCUCCAUCAAACUCAAUAGGGCUUAAUUCUGAAAGUAUACUGUAUGUAUAGGAUUCCACUUUAAGUCACCUAUUUGUUUGACUUAAUUUAAGAAAAUGUAUCUAUAGUUUUAAUCUGGUCCACAUGUAUGAUUUGGCCAUUUUAACCUACUUUUCUACAUUGGGCAAAAAAAGCUAUCUAAAUCUCAUUAAUAUAUCAGCAUAUGCAUUCAGUUCUAGCUGAGUAGGUUAAUCUUGUAAUAGAUAAUGCUUAUACAGCAGCUGUAGUGAUUGCAGAAAAGCUAUAACAAAUUACAUUAAAGGUGUUGGAGAAAUAAAGUAGGGACUUUUUAUUAUAUGUACAAGAAGAAAGUGUCAUAUAAUAUCUCAUUUUGACUAGUGGCCUGGCCUUUAGCAGAAUAUAAAUAUUAUUGAUAUUGAUGUUGCACCAUGAAUCACCUCUCGUUGCACUGGCUCCAGCAGUAGAACCUUUACUGUACAUAGAAGGAAAAAACCCAACCAUUAUUUAUUACUAAAAGCUAAAUCUUUGAUAAAUUCUUAACAGGAAUAUGAGCUCACACUUCAGUUUCUUAUCGUCUCACAAGAUCAUACACCUUCCCACCUUCAAGGCUAAUACCAUUAAAAUACUAAUAAUCUUACUGCACCAUUCAAAAACCAGUUAUUGUUUUCAUCUACACUCCUAUCAUGGAAACACCUGAAGCAGGUUGCUUCACUGUUGCAUAGCAGGGACACUCCUAGUUUCAUAAUCACAAGCACAAUUCAGGAGAGCUGCUUCUGUCUCUUGUUGUAUUUUCUUUUAAAUGAGCAAAAUAAGCAGCACAAGGAGCAAUGCCAUUCAUGUAACAACUGAUAGCUGAAAUAUCAUCUGCAUCACUGCAAACAUGCAUAGCUGGUGUGGUCAUUAUAAACUUUUGGUAUAUUACUUGAAAUAGCACAAAGCAUAAUAGGACAGACUUUCCUUACUUACCUCAUGCAGCAUGCUGUUGUAAUAAUUCUAACUCAUGCAAUCCUACAUCCCAGCAGCUAUGCAUAGCUUUAGGCUUGUGAUGUUCAAAUAUAUAUGAAUUUUAAAGUUUCUUUACAGUACUCUAUUUGUGGAAGUUCAAGUUAUUAACCUUGCCCUUCAGUAUUGUUCUGCUUUGUGCAUCCCUGUAUACCUUGGAAAUGCAGCUUUGUGCUCAAUAUGCAUAUCCAAAUAGUAGCUGAUUUUGCAAAGCAUUUGAUGAUGAUGCCUGCUAUAUAGAUGAUCUCUGAGCUGUGUUUUUUCUAAGGGGUUUCUCCUUUUCUUUUUGUCUUGGUAAGCAAAAUUAUUCUGCAAUGGUGAAAACAACUGAGGAGGUGUGUGUUCAUGAGCUAGUGGAACAUUUGGUGUGUUCCAUGCAGAAGGAAAAAAGACAGCCUCAGUCUACAAUCAGUAAAAAGCCACUUCCUCAGACCAGUCACUGUGACAUCCCAUUUAACAAUAUGUGACUACUCAAGAAGUAUUUGAGAGCAAGCAGCUUAUGGAUUGCAGUCUAAGUACAAUAGAUACUGAGGAAUAAGGAGGAGAAAGAUUGUGAAAGAGAAAUCAACAAUUUAAUGGGAGUGGGUGAAAGGGGCAAAUAGUUAAUAAUGCUGUUGAAGACAGUCUAUUUCCUUGUGAGACAGUGCUAUUCCUGGUGCUGGAUGAAAUCUGGGAAGACCCUUCCCAUUUUCAUUUGUUCCAAAUGGUAUAGUAGUACACCAUUUCAUCUUUACUAAUGCCCACUGAGCUAUAUUUAUUAAAUGUCUCUAAUACUGCUCACAGAAUGACACCACUAUAUUCAUACAUUUAUGUGAUUAACAUGGAAAUAUUUUAUUAUAAUUAUCUGAGCCACCUAAAGCCUAAUGGAGCCCUCACAGUCUUAGGCAGGUUAGUGUGAAAUUUAAUUUGCACUAAUCUGCUAGGCUGAUGGGUGUAUUAUAAAUCAAUGUGCAAUGAAGGAAGGUAGUGUAGCUUAAACAAAAAAGGCUAGAAGUAAACAGACCUUGAAUAGUAUUUUCAUAAAGGGAUGACUAAAAGGGUGACUUCCAAUUACGCAUAGAGCAGUGAGUGACCUAAUUUUUCUGUGCAUCCAGGUGAGGUGAGAAGUCUGCUACAUGUUUAAUAUGUUUCAAAAUGAGGGAAAACAUUCAUUGGAAUAAGGAGCCAAGUGAUAUGUUUUCAACUAGCCAAGCACAUCCUAUUCAAUUUAGGACAAAACACCUACAUGCAUGUAUACCCAGAAGUAAGACCCACUGAAUUCAAUAGGACUUAUUCCCAGGUAAGAGUGUAAAGGAUUGUAAUCUUAGGCUGCACUCCUGUAGUCACCUAGAAUUAAUCCUCAUUAAAGUCCCAGAAGUGGGACUUACUUCUGAGUAGACAUGCAUAGAGCUGUGCUGUUAAUCACUUAAUCAUUGUGGGUUUCCAUUCCUCAAUUGGUAGAUACCUGCUUCAAUGCAAAUUUGGUUUUAUAAAUACAGAACAAUAUUUUAAAUAUUUAGACCCAUUUCCAGUGUCUAAUGAUAAAAUAAAAACAUCAGUUUAACAACAAAUAAUUAACAACAAUAAAAAAAUGAAAGCUGCAGAUUAAAACUGCAACAAAAAUGCGUAACACAGAAAUGGUACACUUGAGAACAGAAACUUUUUGGUGCAUUAGCACAGAAUCGGUUGAAAUCCCGAAUGAAUAAAAUGGUUUUUGUGAGCCCAGGCUGCUGGGAAGGGGGCACAGAAAACAAUACAAACAACAUGACAAUAUAUUGUUGUCAGGGGUUCAGGGACAGAGGCACAGGGUAGGCAGGAGAUGGAGAGCGAUGGGGAUGAAUCCCAGGCCAGCGAGGAAGAGGAUGACAAUGACUCAAGAGAUUCCAUGAGUCUUUCCAGCGAAUCAGAGGAUUCCCAGAAGGGGGCGCCGGUGGUCAAGGCCAGGGGAGCCCCAGGGGGGACGUGUCCGGAGCAGGGGGCCAGCGGGGGAUCCCAAAGUGGCAGCUGGGCGUCAGGACCAGCCUCCCCACCAGAGUGCAGCGAAGGGGGUGGAGUUUCCAGUGUAUCAGGGGAAGCAGCUCCGGCGGCAGAGAAGGGAGGGAGGUCAGAACAAGCCACCCUCCCGGAAGGGGAGGGGAGUAGUGAAGGGAGUAGUCUAACUGUCAAAAGGAAAGUUAGAGUUAGGGCGCGCGCCAAGUUCAAAUGUAGAGGCGCGCGGAAGUACAGGGAGCCCGGAGGAAGGGCCAGGUCCCAAAGCCCGCAGGAGGGGGCAAGAGCAGUCUGAUUCCACGUCAGAGGAAUCCAGGAGGGGGGAAACCCCAGCGGGCAGAAGGACCCUGCGGAAAAGGAAAGAGAGAAAGAGGUGGAGCAGCGCAAGCCUCUUAAACUGGUGCAGGGGAGGGACGGAUUCAGAGGGGACUUCAGCGGUCUAAGCGUAGGAGACGUAGGGCUGCGCGCCUCGGAUGUGAAGCAAACAAUGAACUGCAAUAAACACUUUUGUAUAUAAGAAGAGAUAGGCGUUGGUCUUUUGUGAGCUGAGACUUGAGGCAGCCCUGACAGUUGUGAUCAAAAUGACCACAACUUUAUUGAAUUCAGAUGUCAAUAGGUUUUGCCAUAGGCGUUGAGUAUACAUAUUGAAUCAGCUGAUUGUUGACUGCUCAUUUAAUCAGGGUCUAUCCUGGAUUAAGGAUCCUCAUAUGAUGCACAUCAUAUACAGGUAAUCUGUCUGGGAUGCCAUUUUGGGCGUUCUAUGGCCCAUUGGCUCCUUUUUGGGCACACAAACAGAAUGGAUUCCUCUGAAUCCCUUUACAUUUUCUCAGGCAUUCCCCACCUCUCCUCUGACUAUGAGAACACUAGAGUAGGAAAUCAGAUGCUGAUCUCAGUUCUUAGAAAGGUUCAUAUGGCAGAAGGCAGGACUUCAAGAACCUCAUUCCAAAGCUAUCUUGGUAUUUAAGGGUUAAAAGUUAAAAUCAUCACUUUGAGUGUGGUAUCCCAGAACUCAACCUAGACAGGAUGCCCAGAUUGAUGGUACCAGAAAUGAUUAUAUUGUCAAUUGUUGAGAUGUAUAGGAGAAGUAUAAUAGAUUGUGCUCCUUGCACAGGCCAUCCAACUGGGUGACCAGGAUGGUUUCAAUUUCAAACGCAGGUCGGAAGUUAGAUUGAAACGAAUCUAGAUUAGAGAAGAAAACCCUAUAGCUUUCUAGAUGUUGUUGGACUACAACCUGUACCAUCUCUCACCACUUGUCAUGUGAAUUGGAGAUGAUGGGAAUUUAAGUCCAAUAACAUCCAAAGGGCUACAGGUCCCUUCCUCAUGUGAUCUAGAUAAUCCAUGUCAUUGAGGAGCCAGUACACAUCUCAAAACCUUGCCCUCACAAGGCAGGCUUGCAACUGGAUGCACAGCAGCCUCCAUCAAGAGAGCUUCAAAAGCUCCACCUAAAGAAGUAUUCAUUAUCUGCUGGAUCUAUCUUGGCUGAUAAUAUCUGGCAAGGGAAGUUUGACUGAAGUCCAAAAAGGGUCUGGGUCUACUUUAGGCCUCAAAUAAGCUCACUUGUGGUACCCAACCUACCAGGGUGGGUGGCUCUUUUGUGCACAUUUAUUAGGCUUCCAUAAGGUACUAACCUUCCAUGAUGCAGGAGCACUGGGGAGAGAUUUACAGAGGGCUAGAAUGAGAUUUGAAGAAACCAGAUGUGGCCUGUAGGGCAUAUACUGCCUGCCCCUGCUUUAAGCAUUUUAUUUAUACUUUCUCUCCCUACCCCAUUACCUGGGGUGUGCUGUGUGUGUGCCAUAUUUACAAUGCCUAAUAAAAGGCUGCUGCAGCAGGUAGCCUGGUCUUCAAGGUGCUCCAGUGGUGUAAGACUCAUGAUUGAAAGGCACUUUACAAGCCACAGAUGAAAGGAACAAUAGAACAGCCAAGUGCACUUAUUAAUAAUUUAUUUAAAAAUCAUACCUUUGAUGGACAAGGCAUUGUAUGUGGGUUGUGCACAACUGACAGUAUUGACAUUAUUGUAAUUUUCAAUUGGUUUUAAAAGACCAGGGGGCGGGGUGAUGGUGUGGGAAACGCAAUAGUCCAAGGGAGAAAAUACAUUGGGAUAAUUGUUAAUAGAACUUGAUUUAUAGCUGUACUUCACUGUGUAGGUUCUUAAGACUCGCUGCAACUUCCCUUUUGUUUGGACUGAUGAAUAAUUAAUACCCAAAGCUUCUUAUAUUUCUUUACGGCUAACCUUUUGACCAGUGUGUUAGCUAAGCAUUAUGUUAGAUUACUGAUAGAGCUUGGAGGAAUAAUGAUAGCAAUCGUGAUUGCAGCUAUUGUUCGUAUCAUAGGGGUGGGUGGGUUAUUAGGUUAGAAGCACUGAACUGGCUUUUUUAAAGGAAUACCUUUGUAGGAAAAGAAAUCAAGGUAAAUGCCUUGGGUUGUUGUUUUUUAAGUUGGCUAGCCUUUCUUCCUUUCCAAAAAAGCAGAACUGGUCAUUUUUCAGGGGUGGGGUGCUGAUGAUUUGGAGUGGACUUUAAAGAAGACAGACACCACGACCCUGGGGUUCAGCAAUAGCUAGCACACCAAGUUAAGGCUGUGGUUCCUGGCUUUGAGCCUGAUUCUAGUGCUCACUGAACCACAUACCAUAAGACCAAGCCUCAUCAAACUGGAUCCAGGGCUGUAACACACACCUUCCCCUAGACCUGAGGACCCCACAUUACAAAAGGCGGGAAGCCAUGAAACACAGAAGUGCCAGUCUCUACUUUUCCACAAGGGAGUGGAGUCUAGGAGGUAUGGCAUUGAGGUAGAUGGAGCCUGUCUACACACCAUACAUUAAAAGUGAAGUGGGAUAUGUGAUUCAAAUGUAUGCAGCCAAGGGCUCAAAGGGGAAAAAGUUCAUUUCCAGUCCUUGUUGAAAAAAGUUACUCUCUAGGAGCUCUCCGUGGUGCUGAUUAGCAACCAGUCCAUCUUGCAGCAGCCUUGUCUUGUGGGCUGCUCUGGGUGUGUGUGUAUUCCAGAACAAGAAAAAUCCCACCACUACUUAUCACCUAUAAGUAAAUGGUACCAGGAUUUAGUUGCAUACAGACAAUGUGGAGGGGCAGCUAGUAACUAGCCCCUUCACAUUGUUUGAAAAGUUAAUGUAGUAGGCAGUUUUGCUGGCUCAUUCUGGCCCAUUUUGCUGAAGCAUACAGCCUUCCAUUAUGCCCAUUCAUCCAGUUUGGGGAGAUCCUUUUGCAGCUGCUCAUAAUCCCCUUUUGUUUUUACAACCCUGAACAAUUUGAUGUUCUCAGCAAACUGGCCUCACUCCUGGAUAAUUUACAAACAAGUUAAAAAGCACCAAUCCGAGCACACAGACGUGGGGUACGUCCAUGUCUGCUUUAUCCCUUAGGUGUUAUGGCUCACAGAAUUUUGAUUUAUGAGCAUAUUAUUACUACUUUGUGGGCCUUAAUACAGAUGUUCUCUCCCCCUGACAUUUGUUCAUGCACUUGGGAGUUGUUUUAAAGUGAAGGUGUCUGAUCCUAUUAUAGUUGGUCAAUCUCUCUCAUAACAUUUUCCUUACUGUCUGUUUAUUUUUUAUAUUCUCAUAAAGCAAUAGCCCUUGUUUCCCUCAGUGGUUUCUGCUCAACUGCAGAGAUAUAUUUAGAAUUUACACUUUUCUAUCAUGCCAGAAAAGAUCAGUGACCCAUUACCCAGCAAAGAUGAGAUGAAGCAACUGGAUCAAACUGAAGACUGAACUUUCCAAAAGAGACCCAAUCCAUCUUAUUUCUGCUUUAUGGAUAGUACGGAAAACAAAACAGUCCCAUCCAGAGAUGGUUGCAUGCAGAAAGGUCUGGUUAUGAGACAAGGCAUGGGUUCUGUCUAAUCAGUGCUGUGAAAAUGGAGAUUGUGUUGGCAUUUGAUUGAAACACAUGUUAUAAAAAUAGCAGGGGAAUCUGCUUGUGGAAGCAGCUUUUAUAUGCAUAAUAUUAUAUUAUAUAUUAUAAAAUAUAUAAUAUAUAAUAUAUAAUAUAUAAUAUAUUAUAUAUUUUCCUUGCUGGGCUGUGGCUCAUCUUUUUAAUCCCGCAGGCCAAAAUUCUAUAUUCCAAGAAGCUCCCCCAAACCUCUCACCCUUGGGAGGUGAGACUUGUGUCAACUAGGGCUAGGUUCUUUUCUGUUGUGGCACCUACCCUAUGGAAUGCCUUGUCGAGUAAGGUCCAUCAGACCUCGUCACUAUGCUGCUUCAGGUACUUAUUGGCAAUUGUUUUUUAGUUUUUUUAAAAGAUCUAUGGUUAAUUGUAGGGUGUAUGGGGUGUUAGGGGAGGGACCUAGUGGGGGACAUGUCAUGCUCCUUCUGGGGUAGUAUGCCCACCUUUGGACCCCACCCUGCACUCAGCUCUCACCUGUGGCUCCUAGAAGCUGUCAGCAUGCGACAGCAGCCACACCCCAGGAAUUGGCUUCAUCUGGUUGGCUAAACCAGGUGAGGGUAGUGGAUGGGUCUCAAACCCUCGGUGAGUUAGGGACUUCCUUUGCUAUAGAAGACAGGCUCUGGUGGAUUGAGCAAAUGAGACCAAUAGUGGUCAAGAAGGUGGCUACUGCACAUGCUGUAGAGGGAAGUGUGGGGCAGAUGGUGCCUGGGAAGGGAGCCCAUCUAGGAGAAGGAAAACUGAUCCUAAACCUCUGCUGCCUUUCAGGAUAUCUUUGGGAGAAGAAAGUGCCAAGGAGUAAAUCCUACACAAACCUGGAGUCUCUAAGAUGAUUGGAUGGCAUCUUGUACACCUCCUUCCAGCAACUCCUGCAGCCAAGCUGGUGCCAAAUGUAUUGCUCUGCUUUCCUUUGGGUCUUGUCAACUGGGCAGCCCCUGAACCUCCAUACAGCCCUGGAAGUUUGAAAAUUUAGUCUGAAAAUUAUGACAAAAUAUUGGAGUGGAUUUGGCACCAAACUAGUGCCAAAUGUAUUGCUUUCCUUUCCUUUGGACCAGAUCUGUGAGGCCGAGAGGUGGGUUGGUUUGUUGUCUGGGCGGCCCAGGACCUUCAUAAACACUGCCCAGACUUGCACAGAGG
rnacentral:lncRNA from 1 species